ensembl:lncRNA
GUGCUGGUGAAUGAAGGGCAGCUGAGCAGUGAGGCUCUGCUAUAAAAGGGACCUGCUGGGUUAGGAGCCUCCAAAAGGUCAUAUGGGAGCUGGGAUUGUGAAUGUGUAGGCUGCUGCUAUGAUGCACUAGGGGAACAAUAGGCUUACAGCAAGGCUCUGAGUGCAUAUCUAGAGAUUUAACCUCAGGUCUUUGAUUGUGGUUAAAGCUUUGAUUGUUGAAAGCUAGUGAGACAGCUGCUAGAGAGAAGAGGAAGUAGAUGUAUUUGGAAACUGCUUUUUAUGAUUGUUACCAUUUUCCAGCUGUUUGCUGCUCUGGAGGGAGUGAAGGAGAAGAUCUAAGGCAAAGAAGAUUAGGAACCAGAAGCAAUUCUGAAAGUCUACAGCCUUGAUAUCCAUAGACUUCCAUCUCAUGUCGGCAUUCCUGUUAUCAAGACACUCCCUCUGAAGCUAUGGAGUUGCAGAGCUGUUUGCAGGUGGUCCAGCUGACUCUUAUAUGAGGCAAUGACCUUCUCUGCACUGUAACAUACUGGUGCUGGACCUGGCUGUAUGUGAAUUCCUCGCAGACGAGAGUUAGGAGGAGCACUGACUACGUGGUACCCAGCAGCUAGCAAAUUGCAUACCUGCUCUACGUGGGAACCCAGCAGAGCGGGAUGGCCCAGGGCCUCAGCAGAGAGCUUCCUGGGAUCUCGGCCAUAUGGCACACUGCACUGGUUACUCGUGAAGAGGUUCACUUGAGGCUUUCCUAUACAUGUGGUUAACAAGACAGUCUACUUCUUCAGCAGGUUUCAAUUAGUGUGGCUGCUCUGUGGGCGGCACUGGCUCAGUCUGGCAGCUUUGCCAAUGGUCUCAGUUGGCUUCUCUUACUUUUGCUUGCAUGACUCUGGGUCUUCUGCUGCUGAUAGAAGAAACGCCUUUUCUGACUGCACUGCAAGGGGCUCUGGAGACACCUGAGCUGUAGGUAGCGUACAGCUGGCACAUCUGAAUGUAAUGCCAGUCAGCAAGCUGGGAGAAAGGACUGCUAUCAUCUUGGGUGUCCUCAGGGGAGGAAAGGGUGAGUGCUCUGAAACUCUUCCUAUUCCAGCUGUGUCUUUUCCCCUCCACGGAGCCUGAGCCUCCAGGAGGCUCCUGCCCUGAGCAAAGUGGCUGGGGAUGAGGGUAAAGGGCUGCUGUAAUGGGGAAGUCCAAGGGCUACCAUAGAACCUUCUGCCCCCCCCUCCCCCCAAGAGCCAUGUCCUGCUGCAGCGGGACUUGAGCAGCCAUGAGGAGAGGAGGAACUGAAGGUCUGAUCUGGGUGCUCUGACUCACUACUCAGCUGAGCAGGAAGCAUGAGGGGACUCAACUGGUGUGAUCAGGAAAACAGCAGGAGCUGGCUUUUUGAGAAGGAACUGGAACAGAGAAACCUUUGUGCUUCCUGCAGGCAUGUGGUAGGGAGAAGGGACGGUUUUAGACCUGUUUUAUUGUGGUGAAAAUUGAGAGGGUCGUGCCGCCAUGCUUGGCGCUAGCUGUGUAGGUAGCUGUCGUGGUGGUGGAGGGGAGGUCAGUGUGUGGAGUGACACUUGUUGCUCUUUGUCACACUGCUGGCAUUCUGUGAUAGGUUCCAAAAGCAUUCGGAAAUCCCAAACAGAGUCAGAAAUUAAAAACGGGUGGUGGUUUGUGGUUCAUAUGACAGAAGGCAUAAACCAGCAGGGAAGUGUGUACAGGUGACAUUGAGCCACUGGCUGUAGUUUUAAAUGCUGAAAUAAGCGAUGCUGAUUGUUUCACGAAGCCAAGUUCCUCAUCCAGCUAUUACAGAGCUGACAUUUGGGAAAUCAGAUGCACGUGUAGCCCUUACGGACAGACUCUGCUUUGCAUGAGCUUUGCUGAGAUUUGCACCGCCAGGCAUCUCACUUCUGUUUGUCACUGUGAUUGCCUUCUUGGCAAUGCAUCGUGCCAUUUACUGCCCCUCAUGUCCUUAACUGGAAUUAGCUGCCACCCCCUCUCCCAAUGGCUCAAUCACAGCUCUCCAGCAGCUCAGCUCCUUGUUUCCCUCUGCUGCCAGCCUACUCUGCAAUCACCUUUGCAGUAAGAACGGUUUUGCAUUGGUGUCCCUGUCUCCCUCCCAAAGAGCUGCCUAGCCCUGUCCCCUCAGCCAUGGAAAAACUAUUUUCAAACACAAGAGCAAAGAGGAAGACUUUCAGCAGCUGUAAAGCUCUACUUUUCCUGGGAGGUGCUCUGUCAUUGCCAGCUGCCAGGGAUGUCAGUGAUUUUUGCUGAUGAUGGGAGAAUUGCAUUUGAACUAAAGAGGCAAAGGGAUUAUCUUUAAGCUAACACACUGAAUGAGUACUGCCCUCAUUUUUGCUGCACUGAGGCCCCUCAUGAUCACAAACAGCUCCUUUCCCCUCUGUAGCACUUGUACAGAGGGGAACUGACCGCAUUUAACAGGCCAACGUAGUCUGAAGUGAGGUUUGCAUGAGAGCUACAAUGCCUAAUCCCAGCCUGGCAAAUAUAUACUGUUUGAUGUGCUUUGGGCAGUCUUUUGCAGGUGAGCAUUGCAAUGAACAGCGAGAGCAUCUGUAAGUAUGUGUGCUACUGCCCUUUGUGUUGAGAUGGUGCCACGAGGCCAGGCAGCUGACCUGCCUCCCACAGACCAGAGAGUGCUGACACCACACAUGGUGUCCUGGCAAACAUUUGGGUUAGAAAUGUCUGUAUUAGCUGGCCAUGUGGAAGGGAGAUGUAUUGCUGCUGUGCAACUGAGGGCAAAGAGACAGCCCCCAGCACUCAUGCAGCUCAGGAUCUGCCUGCAGCACAGCUCAGCACUGUGCUGUCAGGGGGCAGAGCUGAAGGCCCUGUCAGCCUCACGGCAACACAGGCAGCUCAACCCCAAGUGGAGCAGGUGGGACAGAAGGUCCCCACCGCAGCCAUCGAUGUGCCCAACCAAACCCUACUUCCCUGUGCCAGACACUCAAUGUCAAAUCUCUCUUCGAGAGACCGCAGCAGAAAAUCUGAGAAGCAGGAAAGCAUCAUCUGUGCCAGCUGCAGGAGGAUUAGGAGACCUGCCCAGUGUGUGAGUGAAGCCAAUAGCAGAGUGAGAAGCAAAUGCAUGAUGAGUGACUCAGGCUCCAGGCUGGCCCAGCCCAAGGGGUGUGAACCUGCAUCACCUCUUGAGCAGCUCCAUCCCACCCAGGGACCUCUUGCCAUCGUCCCAUCAGGACUGAUGUGCUGCCAGAAACCAGAAAUAGUAUCCUGAAGAAGAAAAAAAAGUGUGUGUGGGGGGAGGGGGACGUUUGUGCUGUAUCAAUGUGUUCUGGUUUGGGUUUUUCAAAACAAAAUGCUUCUGGCCUUUGCUUGGAAAAGGAUUUUCAGCUUUAUUUGUGUGCAAAAGCGCUGAUUAUGUGUUACAAUGGAAGGAGUCAAAAUCAAAAGGAAAGGAAAUAGAACGCUGAAAGAGACAACGGCCUGGAGAAAAACCAACCCCAGACAGCUGGGAAAUCCCAGCUCUUUGUCUGCAGAUAGAUCUGAAAAGACCAAGGGGUUUUUCCUUUGAUUCUCAGGUUUGCCCUGAAUCCAAAUGAAAGCUAAUACUGGUAUAGCUGACUUCUGCGAAGAGAAAACAUCCAUUUUUGAUUCUCUUUCCAUAUUUCCCCCCCCCCCCCCAUGCUCUGCCUGCACAUGAUGCAGCCAAACAGGAAUUGGAGAGAGACGAAGAAAAUUUUCAUAAACACAGAAAAUAAAUUGCACACAAACAUCAAACCAAAGCUGGUGCAUUGUUAGCAGUGCUUUUCCAGAGCCUUGAUAUUUCCUGAGGACUCUCAUGGGUCUGCGGUCUCUUCCACCACAUCAAUCCCAGUACGUUGUAUGCUCAUUAGCCCGAAGAGCAUGCUCAUAUUUAUGGGGUUGGGAGUGGCACGAUGAGCUCCGUUCCCAAAGGUGGAAUAUUCACUGUGUGCUGCCAGACAUCAUGGUAAUUUGGGGUGUGUGGGGGCUGGAGGGCACAGCCCCAUACUUCGCAGCCUGCUGUGGAGCUCCUUGCUGCAAGUCUCAGCCCUCCCAGCAUGGCACGUGCUGAUGCAGGCUGCCUGUUGGCAACGUUUGCCAGAAGUUUAUCAUCUCCUGUGUUUAAAAAAAAAAAAAAAAAAACUCCCAUCAGUCAAGCUCAGCUCUUCCAUUUUCCAGUAAUUCUCAGGGCAUUCUGAACCUCCUCAGCUCCUAAACAAGGAUGGUAUGAGCCACAGCCAUAGCUGCUGCUCUGAAUGCAGCUGAUGUUGCUCACUGUCUUCUGGGAGUCACUGCUGGAGGAGGCUGAGGGCUCCCACCACCGACGCCCAGGAGUGGGGCCCAUUGCACCAGCCUCAUCCAACCCAGUGGAGGUAUCCAGGAAUGAAAGGCACAGAGGCACCACUCGGAGGUGAUUCACCCUUUUCCAAACCCGGUAUCUCAGGCUGCUGCUGUGAGUCACCCUGGGAACCGCCUCCCUGUCUCUCUCAGCUAUAAAAGAUACUUAUUUAACCUGCACGGAUCUCAUGCAUCACUUUAAAAUUGCUGAAGUGGGUUGAAGCCUGCCCCCGCCACCUUUGCCAAGUGACAAGAGAUGCUUCAGCCCUCGCUUGGGUUGGAGGAAUUUUGGCUGGAGGGGAAUUCAGGGCAGGUGAGCGCAGCAUGGCCUGACGUCCUCACCUGCUGGAGGUGGGAGGAUCACAGCUGUAAUGUCCCAGGACAUUAACACUACUUUCCAAUGAUGCACUUCCUGGUGGUCACCCAGGAGCAGCGCAUCUCAGCAUCAUUUCUCUGGGAUUCGGGGUCAGGCUGAGUCUAUUUCAGGUGGUCAAACGGCAGCCGAACAGCUGCUAAUCUAGAUCACUGCUGCUUAAUCCAGCAGCUCGAAAAGACGGA